GACGAACGCUGGCGGCGUGCCUAAUACAUGCAAGUCGAGCGAAUCACUUCGGUGGUUAGCGGCGGACGGGUGAGUAACACGUGGGCAACCUGCCUGUAAGACUGGGAUAACACCGGGAAA
rnacentral:rRNA from 1 species